rnacentral:rRNA from 1 species
UACGUAGGGUGCGAGCGUUAAUCGGAAUUACUGGGCGUAAAGCGUGCGCAGGCGGUUCGUUAAGUCAGAUGUGAAAGCCCCGGGCUCAACCUGGGAACUGCAUUUGAAACUGGCGGGCUUGAGUGUGGCAGAGGGGGGUGGAAUUCCGCGUGUAGCAGUGAAAUGCGUAGAGAUGCGGGGAACACCGAUGGCGAAGGCAGCCCCCUGGGCCAACACUGACGCUCAGGCACGAAAGCGUGGGGAGCAAACAGG